UAACAAGGUUUCUGUAGGUGAACCUGCAGAAGGAUCAUUAGUGAAGAUUUGGGCAGGCCAUACGGACGCCACAAAGUGUCCCUGGCCGCCUACACCCACUAUACAUCCACAAACCCGUGUGCACUGUCCUUGGAAAGGGCAUUUGGAGAGAAAAAGGAAGAGAAGCGAGAACAGUGCGAUCCGUCGCGUUGGGCGUUGAUCUCUGACUUGGUCUCUCUGAGGCCCUUUCCUAGCCACAAACUCGAAUGGUUAGUAUGAACGUGGAACUUGGUUGGACCGUCACUGGCCAACAAACUAUACACAACUUUCGACAACGGAUCUCUUGGUUCUCCCAUCGAUGAAGAACGCAGCGA
rnacentral:misc_RNA from 1 species